rnacentral:rRNA from 14 species
AUGAGUUUGAUCCUGGCUCAGAAUGAACGCUAGCGAAAAGCUUA